ensembl:snoRNA Gm26349 small nucleolar RNA SNORA17
CCUGUUUCUAGAAGCAUUACAAGUGUGUCUGCUGUGUCACAUAUGCAUCAGUAGGUGGCACAGUAGAAAGAGGCUGUGUCGUGUCUUCACUCUGCUAUAACCCAUGAGAAUCUGAGAAAUGUUAGUAGCCUAACAUU